GCCGGGGUGGCGGAAUUGGUAGACGCAACGGACUUAAAAUCCGUCGGGGCUUGUCCCCGUGUCGGUUCGAGUCCGACCCUCGGCACCA
rnacentral:tRNA from 1 species